CCUCUCCCGGGAGGUCAGUGCUGUCAUGUCAGGGACCCACAGCCUCCUUUAAUUCCAGGUUGGAAGUGCGCACCCAUCCCGCCUGAGAACAACCCUUCCUUUGGGAACAUUCU